AGCGAACGCUGGCGGCAGGCCUAACACAUGCAAGUCGAACGAACUCUUCGGAGUUAGUGGCGGACGGGUGAGUAACACGUGGGAACGUGCCUUUUGGUUCGGAAUAACUCAGGGAAACUUGUGCUAAUACCGAAUGUGCCCUUCGGGGGAAAGAUUUAUCGCCAUUAGAGCGGCCCGCGUCUGAUUAGCUAGUUGGUGAGGUAACGGCUCACCAAGGCGACGAUCAGUAGCUGGUCUGAGAGGAUGACCAGCCACACUGGGACUGAGACACGGCCCAGACAAUGACGGGGGGAGGGGGGGUGGGACAGGGCGCAGGGCGGUAAAGUCUGCAGGAGCCAUGCGGGGUGAAUGAGGAAGCUCUGAGUUUUGUAAUCUUUUUGCGAGGGGGAGGAUAACCGCGGUACCGGGAGAAGACCCCGCGACUAACUUCGCGCCAGCAGCGGCGGUAAUAAUCGGAACGGCCCCCCUCUGAAC
rnacentral:rRNA from 1 species